UACGAAGGGUGCAAGCGUUACUCGGAAUUACUGGGCGUAAAGCGUGCGUAGGUGGUUGGUUAAGUCUGAUGUGAAAGCCCUGGGCUCAACCUGGGAACGGCAUUGGAUACUGGCGACCUAGAGUGCGGUAGAGGGUGGCGGAAUUCCCGGUGUAGCAGUGAAAUGCGUAGAUAUCGGGAGGAACAUCCGUGGCGAAGGCGGCCACCUGGACCAGCACUGACACUGAGGCACGAAAGCGUGGGGAGCAAACAGG
rnacentral:rRNA from 1 species